GUUCUUCAACCCAGUCCUCAUGGGCCACCAACAGUCCAGGUUUUGUCAGUAUCUCUAUUGGAAUAAAACAGGGAAAUACAUACAUUCUGGACUGUUGGUGGUCCAUGAGGACUGGGUUGGGGAC